UGGCUCAGACAGUAAAGCAUCUGCCUGCAAAGCGGGAGACCUAGGUUCAAUUCCUGG
rnacentral:tRNA from 1 species